GACGAACGCUGACGGCGGGCCUAAUACAUGCAAGUCGAACGCAGUUGCGAACGGGUGAGUAACGCGUAUGUAACUGCCUGGUAGCGUGGGAUAACUAUUGGAAACGAUAGCUCAUAUCGCCUCCUCCCAGAUGGACCUGCGUUGUAUUAGCUAGUUGGUGAGGUAACGGCUCACCAAGCCAACGAUACAUAGCCGAGCUGAGAGGUGGAUCGGCCACACUGGGACUGAGACACGGCCCAGACUCCUACGGGAGGCAGCAGUGGGGAAUCUUCGACAAUGGGGGAAACCUGACCGCGCAACGCCGCGGGAGGGAAGGAGGUUUUCGGGUUGUAAAGCUCUGUUGUUAAGGAAGCGGUACUUGAACAGAAAGGGACGGCUAACUACGUGCCAGCAGCCGCGGUAAUAC
rnacentral:rRNA from 1 species